GAUGAAGAACGUAGCGAAAUGCGAUACUUGGUGUGAAUUGCAGAAUCCCGUGAACCAUCGAGUCUUUGAACGCAAGUUGCGCCCGAAGCCAUUAGGCCGAGGGCACGCCUGCCUGGGCGUCACACGUCGUUGCCCCCCCAUCUACUCCUUCGGGAUUGCGGGGGGCGGAUGAUGGCCUCUCGUGCGCCUCGUCGCGCGGUUGGCCUAACUGCCAAGUCCUCGGCGACGCACGCCACGACAAUCGGUGGUUGCGAAACCUCGGUUGCCUGUCGUGUGCGGUCGUCGCGCAUCGAGGGCUCGAAAAAAUUGCCGGGCUUCGGCUCGACUUUCAACGCGACCCCAGGUCAGGCGGGGUUACCCGCUGAAUUUAAGCAUAUCAAUAAGCGGAGGA
rnacentral:misc_RNA from 1 species